UCUUUAAGGUUUUUAUAUUGUGUGUGUGUGUGUGUGUGUGUGUGUGUGUGUGUGUGUGUGUGUGUGUGUGUGUGUGUGUGUGUGUGUGUGUGUGUGUGUGUGUGUGUGUGUGUGUGUUUCCCUAAUGUUUAUGAUUUGUCAAUCCUUUGGGCUCUUUAUGUCUUUUCAGAUCAGUGCUGAAUUCAAAAUAAUCACCACAGUUCCCCUGCAAUCCAAGCAACUGUUGCUGAAUUGGCUGAUUUGUACAAGAUGCACCAUUUCUGAGGACUUCUGGCACAGUGGCCUGCACUGUUCAAAGUUCGCAAGAUCAGUGCUGAAUUGAAAAGAAUCACCAGUCCCACUGCAAUGGCCAGCACUGUUCGAAGUCCACAAGGUCAUGGAUGAAGUUGCCGUAGACGAAGCAAUUGAAGACAUCACAAUUGGAAUCUGCUCUGACAGAAGAUUGGGCAUCCCACCCUUUGGACAUUGUCAGUUUUAGUGUAUGUCUGUCACACACGAGACACCCAAU